AGUGAACGCUGGCGGUAGGCCUAACACAUGCAAGUCGAACGGCAGCACAGUAAGAGCUUGCUCUUACGGGUGGCGAGUGGCGGACGGGUGAGGAAUACAUCGGAAUCUACUUUUUCGUGGGGGAUAACGUAGGGAAACUUACGCUAAUACCGCAUACGACCUACGGGUGAAGGCAGGGGAUCUUCGGACUUUGCGCGAUUGAAUGAGCCGAUGUCGGAUUAGCUAGUUGGCGGGGUAAAGGCCCACCAAGGCGACGAUCCGUAGCUGGUCUGAGAGGAUGAUCGGCCACACUGGAACUGAGACACGGUCCAGACUCCUACGGGAGGCAGCAGUGGGGAAUAUUGGACAAUGGGCGCAAGCCUGAUCCAGCCAUACCGCGUGGGUGAAGAAGGCCUUCGGGUUGUAAAGCCCUUUUGUUGGGAAAGAAAAGCAGCAGGUUAAUACCCCGAUGUUCUGACGGUACCCAAAGAAUAAGCACCGGCUAACUUCGUG
rnacentral:rRNA from 1 species